rnacentral:rRNA from 1 species
UACGUAGGGGGCUAGCGUUGUCCGGAAUCAUUGGGCGUAAAGCGCGCGUAGGCGGUCAGGUAAGUCCGGUGUGAAAGUCAAAGGCUCAACCUUUGAAUGCCGCUGGAUACUGCUUGACUUGAGUCCGGAAGGGGCGAGUGGAAUUCCUGGUGUAGCGGUGGAAUGCGCAGAUAUCAGGAAGAACACCCGUGGCGAAGGCGGCUCUCUGGGACGGUACUGACGCUGAGACGCGAAAGCGUGGGGAGCGAACAGG